CACAUUUUGUCUGCUGGGAUUAUAACUUAAUACAGAACCGCUACAUAUGUUUGUAGAAAGUAGACCCCUCUCCCCAAGGUUAUUUAACUAGGAGAACUUUGCAAUUAACCAUUUUAUUACCAACCUCUGCCAAAUCUGAUAGUUCUAUGUAAUGUUUUUGACAUAUUUCAGCUAGCAAUUUCAGAAAGUGUGUAGUCCACAACGGCAAAAACCCUAUAUUUGUAAAGAAUUUAAUUACAGACAAAUAGUGGCCACAAACUAUUUACCCCCAUUAAUCCAAACAUGACAUUAGACAAAGUAGUGUCUAGUUUGUCUCACAAUAAAUCUAAGGUUGACGAAAGUCGGAGCUAGGUCUUCAACUUUUGUCCAAGGCCAGCCGCCGUCACUUGGGAUACAGACAUUAAUCUAUGCGGGAUCCUCCAAUGUAAUACAGCAUUAACGUGCCGGCUGGAGCUGAAGAGGAUGCACAGGGCAAAAAUGGUGGCAGCAAUGAGGGACAUCUUCAGGUAAGUGAACUACCCACAAAUGUCUCCUUUAUUCACAACACAACUAAUAAAACAGCACGAUGAAAUGCGCUUUAUUAUAAAUCCAUAAAACCUUCCCAUUCACCCUCCAGCUCCCAGACCAUCACCAGAGAGGGUACUUUUGGGGGUCUUUGCAAAACUCCCUGAAAAUGACAGAUAAGCAUUAAGGAAACAGAAGUACGGUACAUAAAUCCAUUUAUAAUGAGUGCUCCUGGUGCCUUUUUUCAGAUUCUGACCACUUCACAUUUCAUCAAGCAAUAUCCUGGUCUCACUGUGGCUGAGAUUAUCAGGAUGGAUGAAGCAUUGAGAGCCCUACUGUACAUGCUUGGCAAUUGGCACAGUGCAUCAUAAGAUUCUCAGGGAAGCUUUAUAUCACAUCUUCAAGCCAAACGUGAAGACUCGACAUUUUGUUUUCAUUAGGAGACCCUCCAGCGGCUCUCUGAAUGCGAGAAAUUGCAAUGUUACGUUUGUCAGUCAGUGUGCAUCUAGUGGCUGUUAAACAGCAGGGACAGCAUCUGGGCACUGUGUGUCACUUAUCGGAGUCCUUGCAGUCUGGCCUCUCCAGUGGGCUGUAAUAGUUUUGGUGCUUAGAGUGCCUCUUUAAACACACACCUAGCUGAAGAGAAAAUGACAAGGUUUGUAAAUGCCAGAUUCACUGAAAGAUCUUGGGAGUGCACAUGCUUGUUACAUUACUCACUCGUCCCUGUACAAACUAGCAAUUUUAAGACAUUUUGUCUGUCAAUGCGAAGGAAUACCCUCGGGCCCGUAUCAGUAUUAACCCCAGUAGAAGCAAGCAAACACACACAUUUAAACAACCCAAACUGGAGCCAAUAGUAUGGCAUGGGUCAAUGAACAGGAAACAGCAGAAAGCAACUGAUCCCAUUCGAAUUAAUAUUUUAUUAUUUAUAUAGCGCCAGCAAAUUCCAUAGCGCUUUACAAUGGGAUGUAAUACUUUGUAACAAACCCCCACACACAUUAUUUUCUAUUUCUUAUUUAAUGGUUUACUUACGGCUGAGUGCAAUGUAUAUUACAACUAACAGGUUUGUCGGUAAACAAAGUGUUUAUAUUGUCAUAAAGGAGCGAUUAGGGCGUUGUGUAUAAACAUUGACAAAGUUGCUCUUUUCAGUUUUUUGGGGCUUUUCCUAUUUGAACGUAUUUAUUCUCUCAUUUCCUUACUGCACCUUUCUGCCACUGUUUCCUGUACCAAUUCGGUCCUUUUAUGUUCACAAAGAUGUCGCAGUGAAAAAGGACCAGAAAGGUUUCUGCCAAUGUCAAUAGGGUGAAUUUUCUGAAGUAGGUUGGGAGCUUUAACCGUCUUAGGCCUGGCACACUGUGAAUAACAAGGGUUAUUUUUCAUACAGUUCAGAUCUGUCAUGUAAGAGGACGUUCACUUAAUUUACAACUUUGCAAAAGUUGCAAACCCAUCUCUAAACCCAACACUGUGAGCUUCAAACCUGGAGCCUCCAGAAAUCAAUUCAGAAUAAACCUCAAUGCCACCAAAGCCAUUCGUGCUCUUAAAGCAGCUCAGUCCCGGACGCCUAGUCUGAUCAAAGUGACAGACGCUUUAACCCUUCGAGGGUGUGGUGGCGGUGGUGUAUGUAUGUGUAUAUAUAGUUCCAAAAUGUGCUUCUAAUUGCUGAAAUUCAGAAAAUACAGGAUUACUCUGGUUCUAAUUUGUUUUGUAACAGAUCACAGAAUUGUGAUGACAAUUGAAAACAUUAUUAUUUGAUCCCCGAGUGCAUUAAAGUGAUGGGAGUUGAGUUAGCCAUUUUGACAAUGACUCAUGAGCAUCUCGACGGCACAGGGGUGUUUAACCACAUCCACCCUGUAAGCACCUGCCCCUGGUGGCUUCUUUCUGCCUGAACUACUGGUCCUGCUUUUAGGGAGGAGGUCUAAUGACUACCCCCGUAGUGACACAGGAGAAGAAAAAAGGAAAGCUGUCCUAACAGAUGUUUAAAGCUCCCAAAUAGAAAAUCAAACAAAAACUAUUGUUUGUUUUGAAUAAAAUGGUUUUUUUUCAGGACACAGAGCACACUUGCAUAGGAAAAGCUUACUGGAUUUACUUUUCCCAACCAAUUUUCUGGUUCUGAUUAAACUGGGAUCGCUGAGCUCCUCCAAGGUGAGAUCAUUCGUGUUACGUUACUGAUAAUUAUCUCAAUACCCUUAUUUCACAUAUCCACAAAUUAUCUUCCAUGCAAACACCUUGUGAGCAGGCCAGAAAAUCCCAUUACAGCUUUACUCUGGCCUUUCUAGGCAUUUUUUUCAGAUUCUUUAACAAUGUCAGCUCUUUGUUUAAAAAAAAAAAAAAAAAAUGCUUAGAGGGAAUAUUACCUUAUGGUAAUAUCUCAUCAACCGCACCAACAGUUACAAACAUGUCCAUAAUAUCUGCCACUGGUAAUUACUCUAUUUAACAAGCAACUUACUUGAUUAGGUUUCAUUCUCUAUGCAGUGAAAUUAAAGUUAAAGCAAAGUGGUUUUCCUGACAUUAUAGUGCCCUAAGGGUGCCCCCACCCUCAGCGUCCCCCCUCAC
rnacentral:lncRNA from 1 species